GGCGGACGCGCCCUGGGCCGGCGCCGCUGGAGAUUACACACACACCCGCCCGAUCUGCACGUUUCCUUCCUUUCGGGUACAGCGGGGCAGGCGACAGCGCGGCCGCUCCCCUCAGAGCGGUGAGCACACGCUUCCCCACCCAUUUCCGGGCCCCCGCUUCUAAACCCCGCCUCUCUUCCUGCCCCCAGCUUGGCUGACUACCCGCUUGGCUCGUCCGUGGCUUCCUGCAUUCACCGGUUCCACGGACCUAACGGGUGUUGCGGUUUGCUGGCGCGCCAUCCGGGCAGUGAGUCAGCUUGGGGUUAAGAGCCGCCCGACGCCGAGCGCAGCCGCGCGUGCCGCCCCGAAGCCCCAGCGGGGAGUUAGGCGCCCCGGGGUUGCAGAACAGGUCCUGUGCCACACAGUUAGUUCCCGGCCAUAACCAGUCACUCCUAUGCUUAAAGUGAUUGUUUUCUUGAUAACUACAGGGGUUUGGCCCAUUUCCAACCUUUUCCCCAAAUAAACAUUCGAAUUAGUUUUAUUUGGGGACUUGCCCUUCUCAACUCAUUUAACUCUUUCUUGGGACUUUUGGGAGUUUAUAACUACUCCCCCUCCAAAUUCUUGAUUUGAAAAAUGUAAUUCAUUUUUCUUUCAAUUAAAACUCUUAAGGCUUUAAAUUUCCCCAAGGAUAACUCGGGAAGCCAGGGACUUACUGGAGUUGCGGCAGCACUGGCCCUUUAAGUUCCCCGGAUGUGAGACGGGAGGGUGGCAGGAGAUGCUCCCCAGCUGCUUGGUGCUUCGCAGGGGCACCACUUUGGGCAAGAAUCACGCAUGACACUUAAAAAACAAUCUUAAUUCUCUGUAUUGCUUCAUAGCUUCCCAACUUCUGGAGUUUUGUUUUGCAUUUCUUGGCUAGUCAAGGGUUAUUUAGUAUUUUCUCCCUUAAGAAAAUAACUUGGGUUCAUUUUCUUUUACUCCAUCCCUUCUGCCCCCACUCCGUUUGUAAUAAUUUCUCCUUUAAUCUUAACCAUGUAUGUAGUUCCUUUUCUUAUUCUCAGGAUGGGAGGGCAUCAGGGUGCUUUCUCAAAAUCUUGCAUUGAGUGCUUACUCAAAAAUGUUAACUUGCUGCUUUAACUCCUACUGUUUGAGAGCCUGACUAGGUUUGGAUGUCAGGAACUCUGCCAAUCCUUAGGGUGCUGAGCCCAGAGGAUCCACAGCCCAGCUCUCCCUGCUACAGCAGUCAUCAGGCCGACAUAGGUUCUGCAGUAAUCAGAAAGCACCCGCUGGUGGCCUUGCAGCAAAUGAGAUGGGUCACAAGCCUGGAAGCUGGUGCUGCACUACUGUCUACAGUGUCUCUCCCCCACUGGACUGCCCACUGGAUCUGGGGCAUCUGAAGCCCUAAAGCCAGGUGCAGAGGAGGAUCUGCCAAAGGGCUCGCUGCCCCGUGGAACUUUCCUUGUUAAAGGAAGUGUUCUAGAUGUCCACUGUCCAGCAUGAUGGUGAUGAGCUGCAGCUGACCAAUGAACAUCUGAAUGGAGUCCAGUGUGACCGACUGAACUGGUAAGCUCAUUUUAGCCAGUUUCAUCAGCCACACGUGCUAGCAGCUGCUCUGCAGUUAAUGCAGCCCCAGUGAGACCAGGGGACUUGCCAACCUGUUGUCUCUGUUUCACCCCAGAAACAGUACCUGGCAUUUUAGCAGGUGCUCAAUCAAUAUUUGUUGACUCAACACAGCUUCUGGGGGACUUAGUGAAACAAUUUCCUUCCCCAAGACAUUUGGGCCUUUUAGCCCUCUGUCUUGAUCUUCCCAUAUUUCUAUCAGGUUGCAGGAAAUCUCACUGACACCAGAAUUGCACACCCUAUGUAAGUCAUCACGGAAGGAUUGUAAUUUGUUCCCUUCUACUCGGGACACUGAGCAGUGGCUGGGAGUGCAGACCACAGGCAAGAGGGCACCUGGUUUACACCCCACCUGCUUCUUCCAGGACUAGCCAGGCUGGGGACUUUGCGUUCCUGCUACCGCAGGUCCAAGGGCCCCAGCAGCAAUUUACUCUGGGUGCUGCUGGCUGGGAUGCCUGAGGGUAGGACUUGAGCUGAGAACGGGCCCUCCUGGGCCUCUACUCACCCGUCUUCCCCAUCUCACUAACUUAAAAUUUUUUUCAAAUAGAAAUUCCUUAAUUCUUAAUCAUUCCUUAAUAAGCUGUUCUCAGAUACCACUUCAAAAAAGUACUAAUACAGUUCCCUCCAUCGUGUUAACUAGGCUAUUCUUGGUGUAGACCAAAGCUGUUUGUGUAUUUUGUAAUUUGUCACAUGGCUGAAGUCUUUUAACUUUCAGAAGACUCGUUUUUUUUUUUUUAAAGAUGGCUGUUUGAAGCUGUGCAUAUUUCCUGCUUCUCACUGUGUAUACUAUGUAGGGACAAUCUAUUACCAUGCCAGCUGGUCUGUGUUCUGUCAUUGACCUGCUUAUGUUCCAUGGAGACUAUUUUUUAACAGAAAGUUGGGAAAUAUUCACCGCCCAGGUCAGUACUGAGACAGCAACGGCACCUUAUUUUAAAAAUGUUAAUUUUAACAUUGUCCUGGGACCAAUUUUGACAACUUGCUACUUUUCCAGGAGUCUUUCCAUCUUGUUUGUUCAUGCCUACACUCAGCAAGUAAUUAUGGAGCCCCUGUACUGUAUCGGGAACUGGGGACACAUCAGGAAGGAUAGCCAUUCUUGUUUUGUAAGUGCAGGUACGGAGUAGCAUCUCUAAAAACGGAAAUUCACUCUCCCACCCAGUCUCCUUCUCAGGAGGCAAUCACAGCCUAACAGUUUUUACAUCCUGCCAGUGACAAUCAACCAACACAUACUCACAUUUGUGUGUGUUCAUGUAUAUAUUUUUGAAGAAAAAAAGACAUCAAUAUUAUGUACAUCUAUUUAUAUAUAUUAAGAUACAUAUGUUAAAAGAUGUAUUUUAAGAAACACAUCUUGGAGAUUGUUUUGUGUCAGUCUAUAGAGCUGGCUCAUUCUUUCUCACAGCUGUGCAAAGUACUCUAAUGAAAACUAUACAUGUUGCCGAACGUAUAGUUUUUCUUUUACAGGUUUUUGCUUGCCUUUGUUUGGUUUUACACUUUGGCUAUCCAGAAAAUGAGCCCUUAGAUUACUUUUUUCUCCUUCAUUUGAGAUUUGUUUAUCCCUGCUGUAUUUAUUUUUCCUCUUUCCUUAGGACUUAUGGAGAUACUUCCCCCAAAAGAAAUGUUUGAGUCAAAUGCUCAGUUUGUUUUCCUUUUUGCUCAAUUUAUCGUUGCAUU